rnacentral:tRNA from 1 species
GGCUCGGUAGCUUAGUUGGUAAAGCGCUCGUCUAGCAGACAAGAGUCGUGGGUUCAAGUCCCAGCCGAGCAC